UGGGGAAUAUUGGACAAUGGGGGCAACCCUGAUCCAGCAAUGCCGCGUGUGUGAAUAAGGCCUUCGGGUUGUAAAGCACUUUUAUCGGGAACGAAACAUUGUCGGCCAAUACCCGGCAAGACUGACGGUACCCGAGGAAUAAGCACCGGCUAACUCCGUGCCAGCAGCCGCGGUAAUACGGAGGGUGCAAGCGUUAAUCGGAAUUACUGGGCGUAAAGCGUGCGCAGGCGGUUUGUUAAGUCUGCUGUGAAAUCCCCGAGCUCAACUUGGGAAUUGCAGUGGAUACUGGCAAGCUGGAGUACGGUAGAGGAAGGUGGAAUUCCCGGUGUAGCAGUGAAAUGCGUAGAGAUCGGGAGGAACACCAGUGGCGAAGGCGGCCUUCUGGACCAGUACUGACGCUCAUGCACGAAAGCGUGGGGAGCAAACA
rnacentral:rRNA from 1 species